ensembl:lncRNA
GUUUUUUGUUGCAAAAAAAUCUAGUAUAAUAAUAUUUAAAUUUACAUAUAUUUUUCACGUUUUCAAUGCCAAUUUUGUGUAAUGGCAAAGUUUCCCACUACCCGUGAAUGCCUCUUUUUAUGUCUCUGGCUGACUCCUUAAUCUCCGCCCAGUCUCUGCUCCAUCCCUGCCGAGUGAACGAGAUCUUUGGUUUUGCCUUUGCUGACUGCUGAUCUGAUCGUCUCAAGUCUGGUGACCUGCUGCAGAAUACCCUCUCCCUCUAUCAUUAACAAGCAAUUCAGUCUGUCCUAUCACUCUCCCUCUCCUGCUCCAUCUUUUUCGACAAGCCAUUCUAUCUUCUAUCAUUUCUCCGCCAUGAGCUCUAUCUAAGUUGACAAGCUUGAACCUGAGUUGAAACGCAAUCCUGUGACUUGAAAUCAAGUUUUACCAGAAUCUAAGUUUUUGGAAUUGAAGUUACCAGAACUUCGUCGAUCUGUUUUCAGAAUUCUGAGAGAUCUCUGCUCUCACUGCUCCAUCUUUCCUGUCGUUAAACUCUCUCACAUCCAGUCAUUUUGCUGGAAAUCACAAGUAGAAACUUGAAAUUACAGUAGUAGAAUUACACUACAGUAGAACUCACAGUAGAAACUACUUACACAGUCCUACAUUUGUCAUUUUAAUUUUUAC